rnacentral:lncRNA from 1 species
GGCCGACGAUGACGUCACCGCCGAAGUGUCACCCGGCCCCGCCCCCGCGGGAGGCGACGAAGACCCGGCGGGAACCGGAAGGGGCGGGGCCACGGAAGGAGCGGGGGGCCUUGGGGACAUGGAGGGACACCCGAGUGACGUCACCGGAGGUGCCACCACCGCCGUGACCUCGGGAGGUGACAAAGUCCUGGUGGCCACCGCUGGGGGCGUGGCCACGGAGGGGACAGAGGGACUGGGUGUCACCGGUGGCCUUGGGGACACUUUGGGACGCGUCACCGAAGCCCCCGGAGAUGCCACCACCAUGGUUGGAACCGUGACCACGUCCCCAGGAAGUGACAAAGUCCUGGUGGCCACCUCUGGGGGCGUGGCCAUGGAGGUGACCGAAGACCCGAGUGCCACCGGUGACCCCAGGGACACAUUGGGACACCUCAAUGACGUCACCGGAGAUGCCACCACUGUGGUUUCAGCAGUGACCACGUCCCCAGGAGGUGACAAAUCCCUGCUGGCCCCUGGUGGGGACGUGGCCAUGGAGGGGACGGCCCAGCCCGGUGCCACCAACUGCUCCUGGGACACUU